rnacentral:rRNA from 1 species
GGGGGGGCAAGCGUUGUUCGGAAUUAUUGGGCGUAAAGGGUGUGUAGGCGGCCAUGUAAGUCUAAGGUGAAAGCCCUCGGCUUAACCGGGGAAGUGCCCUAGAUACUGCAUGGCUUGAGUGCGAGAGAGGAGAGUGGAAUUCCCAGUGUAGCGGUGAAAUGCGUAGAUAUUGGGAAGAACACCAGUGGCGAAGGCGGCUCUCUGGACCGCAACUGACGCUGAAACACGAAAGCCAGGGGAGCAAACGGGGAUUAGAUACCCCGGUAGUCCUGGCCGUAAACGAUGGGCACUAGGUGUGGGAGGUAUCGACCCCCCUUCUGUGCCGUAGCUAACGCAUUAAGUGCCCCCGCCUGGGGAGUACGGUCGCAAGGCUG